rnacentral:rRNA from 1 species
GUGGGGAAUUUUACACAAUGGGCGAAAGCCUGAUGUAGCGACACCGCGUGAGUGAAGAAGCCUUUUGGGGUGUAAAACUCUGUCAGCAGGGACGAAAUCAAUGACGGUACCUGCAGAGGAAGCAUCGGCUAACUACGUGCCAGCAGCCGCGGUAAGACGUAGGAUGCAAGCGUUGUCCGGAUUUAUUGGGCGUAAAGAGUUCGUAGGUGGUUUGUUAAGUCUGAUGUUAAAGACUGGGGCUCAACCUCGGAAGUGCAUUGGAUACUGGCAGACUUGAGUGCAGUAGAGGCAAGCGGAAUUCCAGGUGUAGCGGUGAAAUGCGUAGAUAUCUGGAAGAACACCGGUGGCGCAAGCGGCUUGCUGGGCUGUAACUGACACUGAGGAACGAAAGCUAGGGUAGCGAAUGGGAUUAGAAACCCCGGUAGUCC